AUCUUUUGCUAUUUCUGUAGGAGAGCAGCUUAGCAGGCCAUAUGUCAGAUUUCCCAGGGAGAGAUUGUUUUGAGUUGUUUUCACACCAUAGUUUCUAUUCGUGAGAUAUUAAAGAAAAUAUCAGUAUCUGGUUAAUUGAAUUCUGAAUUUUACCAUCUGAUGAUGUAUAUCAGUCCUGUUCUGUGACUUCCCUUGAAAUAUAUUGUCAGGUCAGUGCAGGCAAUUUCUACCUGCAGGUGAAUCAGGCAUCUUAUACCUUGAAAUUCUAAAGGUUUCAAGAGACAAAAGGCAAACAGGAGAGGUGAAGCUUGACCAAAGGUGGAGCAUUUUCUCUUUGCAAGAGUUGGUGCCUUGCUUCAACCCAGUUGUG